rnacentral:rRNA from 1 species
AACGAACGCUGGCGGCAUGCUUAACACAUGCAAGUUGAACGCAGAAUAGAACUUCGGUUCUAUUGCUGAGUAGCAGACGGGUGAGUAACGCGUGGGAAUCUACCUUCUUGUGAGGAAUAACUGAGGGAAACUUCAGCUAAUACCGCAUAAGCUCUACGGAGGAAAGGCUUCGGCCGCAGGAAGAGGAGCCCGCGUCAGAUUAGGUAGUUGGUGGGGUAAAGGCCUACCAAGCCAAUGAUCUGUAGCUGGUCUGAGAGGAUGAUCAGCCACACUGGGACUGAGACACGGCCCAGACUCCUACGGGAGGCAGCAGUGGGGAAUAUUGGACAAUGGGGGAAACCCUGAUCCAGCAAUGCCGCGUGAAUGAAGAAGGCCUUAGGGUUGUAAAGUUCUUUCACCUGUGAAGAUAAUGACGGUAGCAGGAGAAGAAGCCCCGGCUAACUCCGUGCCAGCCGCCGCGGUAA